GAAGAAGAGAAGAGAAAAAGAAAAAGAGAGGAAAGAGGACAAAGGAAAAGAAAAGGAAAAAAGGGAGAAGAACAGGGAAGAAAUAAAAGAAGAAAAAGACAAGAGGGGGAGAAGAAAGGAAAAUGAGAUUGAAGAAUGGGAGAGGGCAGGAAAGGAUAAGAAGACUAAGAGAAAGGAAAGGAAAGAAGGAGCGAAGGAAGGGAGGGGAAAGGAGAAAAAAGAGAAAAGAAAGGAGAGAAGAUGGUAGAAGGGGAGGAGAGGAGAAGGGAGGAAGGAAAGAAAAGAGGACAGGAGGCAUAAAAGGGAAUAGCACAAAAUCUGAGAAGAGGUGAUGAAAAAGGGCACAGUGAAGAGGAUAGGAAAGGAAGCUCAGAAGAAAAAGGACAAGAACAAAAAAAGAGGAAAGAUAAGGUGGAAGGAAACAGAAAAGACACAUAGAAGGUGAGGUGAAACAAAGUAGGAGGUGAGGAAGAGGAUUGUAAUGGGAAAGAGAAAAGAACAGAAGUACUGAGGGAGGUGAAAAGAAAACAGGAUAAAUGGAGGAACUGAGACCACAGAAAAAAAAGAAAAGAGGGAAGAGGAGAGGAGAAAACAAAAGAGGGAGAAAAAGAGAGAGAGAGAAAAGAAGAAUCUAUUUGUGAAUCUGUGUUCAAAGUGUUCACAGCAAACACUGAUUAUUCACCAAAUGAGCCUCUUGAUUAACAGAAAGGCCUGAUGGCUGUUUCACUGUGUGUGUGUGUGUGUGUGUGUGUGUGUGUGUGUCCACUGUUUAAUUAGAUCACAAGGAUGCCUGCUAAUUCUUUAGCACCCUCACAGUGUUUAUUAGACCAUCAAAAACUAGUGUUGCAUCAUCUCUGAAUAAAUGAACACACACAAAUACACACACUGUUGUAUGGUGAUCAAAGUGUGUGCGUUUGUGUGAAUGCUUGUGUGUGUGUCUGUAUGGGUGUAUGACUUGGAGGUCCAAGAUGAGAAAACACAACAACUGAAAACACAGUCCUUCUUCCUGAGGACAGAACUAUGCAAGGUAAAGCACAAACGCACACACCAGUAAAUGUAAAUAAACAAAAGAGACAACAGGAACACACUUCAUCCUGACAUGUUCAGUUGAACAAUACACCAUUACUUUUGUGUUGCACACACACACACACACACACACAUGCACGCACGCACAGGAGCAGCGUGAGAGCCUGAGGUCACUCGUCCUUUCAGCGCCGCUGUCAGAAAACACCACAACAAUCUGCUUUCAUAUCAAUCACAAAAAUGGAUGCUCUCUUGUGUGCCACUCACACAUUUGCACACACUUGCUUACACACAGACACACACUUCUUGACUGUAUUAUCCAGAUCUGGAGAGUAAAACUCAGUAAACCCGCUAACAAUGAAAGACUGUGCCUCUGCGUUUAGUCUGGUUGAAAGUUUCGAUAGAAAACAGCUCUGAUGAAACUCUCUGAAACUCUUUGAUGUUUUGUAAUGCGGGUAUUUAGCCCCUGUUUUAAAACAUCUAUCCACUGGAUCUAACACUAAUGAAACUCCUCAGGCUGGGGGAAAGUAAGUCACAGGCACAGCUGUAUUGUACAUUUCAUCACUAUGAAUCCAGUGUCAGAAUUUUAAAAUGCAGGUCAGUGUGUGUUCACGUUUGUACUGGAGUGAGGGUUUGGGGGUCAGGGAAAAGAGAGUUGAAAAUGGGUGAUGAGCUCUCUUUAUAGCAGGGUGUAAAAAACCCUAAAAUAUUUACAUCCAACCCUUGAAUAUUUGUAAAAUUAGGGUGACCAUAUUCUGAAUCGCCAAAAAGAGGACAUGACUACGCAGUGGAGCGUAGUUAAUUUUGAGAGUUUUUCGGGUUGGAUUGAGCGUUUUUUACUCGCUUCUAACUCAGUAAGUCCAUGUGACACAAACUCAAAACUUCCAUACAAAACCCCGGACAUUUAAAGGAUUUUAUAAACUCCCCCCAAAAAGAGGACAUGUCUGCCUAAAAGAGGAUGCAUGGUCACCCUAGUAAAAUAUCUUACUUGAAAAGAGUCUCUCAACCUCAUCUCUGUAAACCUAACAAUUUGGGGAAUCCAUCAAUUAUCCAAUUAUCCAAAUCAGCAAAAAUUCAAAGAAUAUUAAAGGUAAAUUGGGUUGAAAUGAAAUUGAGUGUUAUCAAUGAUGCUCCCAUGCUCAACUCUCUCAUUGAUUAAGUGGUGGUGGCCAAGCAAUUUCCAAUAUCUGGUGAUAACUCUCUUAUUUAAGCACUUCUAAGUAUUGUAUUCCAUUUCUAACAGGUUCAUCAUUACGCACUGCACCUUUAAUGCUCAGUAUGGAGAAGACAAGCAGCCGGGUUAAAUCUUCGAGGGACAGUUAUCUUGCUCUUAAAAUGACAUCUCAGCUCUCGUGGCCUUUUUUCCUCUUUCAUGUCUGCAGAAAGGACAGAGUCGGUGAUGUGACGCCCUGUCCUGAGUGUGAGUGGAGACAGACUGAAAACCCCAAUUAAAACCUCAGAUUCUCCAUUUUUCUUUUGUUUUAUUUGAUCGCCCCCUUAAACUCCAUUUCUGUCUCCGUUCUCUCGUUUUAUCCUCCAUGCUUUUAUGCCUCCUUUCUCUUUCUCUCUUUUUCCUUUAUCUCAGAUUUCUUAGCCUCUCGCUGUCCCUCCUACUCACUCUUUACAUUUUCUCAUGUUACACCCUGCAUGUCUGUCUUUGUCACCCCUCUCACCUCCCCUCUGUCAUCGGAUCAGUAGAAUUAAUGGCUUUAUUUCCAUAGAAUCGUCAUGGUGAUGAAUCAUGUCGUUAAUCAUCAUAUCGCCAGGGUGACAGAUCAUGUCAUUAAUCAGGAUUUUUUUUUUCUUUGCUAAAGCAGCAUGUUAAAGAACGCAAACCACACGAUGGUGAUUAGCAAUUAACACAACUCUCUCCAUCACACAAAUACACACACACACACACACACACACACACACACACACACACACACACACACACACACACACACACACAAAUACACACACACUCAUGAGGCACCCUGCAGAGUUGGAGCAGAGCCAAGCGACUGUGUGAAUUCAUCUCUGUAAGCUUAAUCAAACCGUCACGUGUUAGAUGAAAGCACACACACAAGCAUGAAAGUCCAUGUUACACACACAAUGUGACUCCACACACUGUUUUCACAGAGAAAUCAACAUGUCGAGUUACACAAUGUCUUGAAACUCAUUCAUUUUUCCAACAUUAAAACUUAGUCCGCAUUAUUACCUAACGUACUGGCUUCAUGAAUUUGCAUGAAAUAAAAUAAUAGAUAUAAAAUAAUAAAGUAUAGCUGGCUCUACAAAAUUCGCAUAUACUUGGUUUGUGAGAUAUUCUUAACUGUGGGUUUUUGAGCUGGAUCCAUAGACUGUAUAUACUAUGGACAACUUGGUUCCGCCUUCCGCCAGUAGACGAAUUUGAAGCCAAGAAGCUCUCUGUAAUUCCGCGUUUUUGCUCCACGUCCUGAAACCAACAUUGCGCAGUAGCGUUGUACGCAUUCGGUGGGAGAGUCGCAGAGAGUCACUGUGAUGACGCUUGGCUCAAACAGUGUAUCCCCGGGGUGAGCUACGCAAUCUUCGUACACCCAUAGGCUGUAUCAAGUGUCAAUCACAGAAAACAUGAACCCCAUAAUGACUUUUAAAAACAGAGCUGUACAGAAAAAAGAGGACUUGAACACAAACCAGUCUUACUAUAACUACAUGUCAACAUCGCAACCAGGGGGAGAAAAACAUUAUAUUCUGUGUAAUAAAUUACUAAAAUUUGUCCACAUCUCCAUAAGCUUUGCUGGCAGAAGCGGGAUUUAUGACCUAUACUGCAGCCCGUCAACAGAGGGUGCUGUUCUCGGAUUGGCUUCACCCAGUGAAGAGGCAGACUUUGUCCAUUCUAUAUACAGUCUAUGGCUGGAUCGGACAAGGGAGGAUAUCUUACAAGAUUCAUCCAACCCUGACCAAGCCCACGAUAAAGCGAGACUCAGUUGUUUGGUUGACCCAGAUCAGUUUUAUGAACUCACGAGUCAGCAGAGUCAUUAUAGAGCAUUGUUGCCCUCCUGCUGUUAGACACUGGGCAAACACCUCCCUGUAAUUGCCCCUGACUCAUCGGGGAUGACCCAAUCGUUAUGAGACCUGUUUGAUAUUUUCAUCAGACGCCCUCUGAUGUGAGCAAGUGAACAAGAUGAGUUGUCACUCUGAUCGACCUGAGCGAGGAAAUUAGACUGGACAUCCAGGGACAAAAUUAUGUCUCCUGGGCGGCUGGAUUUACAAGGUCUCCUCAGGUGCACUCUCGCAAGGUUUCUGCGAACACUCAAGAUGAUGUGUGUGUUUCCUCGUAAAAAAGUAUCCCCCAGUUGACUUUGAUACCCUCUUUGAAUCUGUUCAUCUCCUCUAUUUGUCCCAAACUUCUUCUAGGUCUUAUUUCACAUCCAAAUGCUGGCUAAAAUUAUAACAACAAGCUGCCCUGUGCGCGCACACACACACACGUGUCUGACAAAAGCACACACAAAUACACAUUGAGAGGCUUUUUUUCCCUGAAUGAUCUCAGAUGAAUUUCAUCUGAGAUCAUUGCUUCAUUAGUGAAGCUCUAGUUGUUCAGAUUGAUUUAAUUAUCAAAUCAUCUACGCAUUCUGUGUGUGUGUGUGUGUGUGUGUGUGUGUGUGUGUGUGUGUGUGUGUGUGUGUGUGUGUGUGUGUGUGUGUAUGUGUGUGUGUGUGUGUGCAUGGGAGAGAGACAGGGAGAGAUUAUGCAGUGAUCUUGGCUGACAUUGAUCAGCCUAGUCUAAUUGGGAGCAUCUAGCCGUGUAAUUGAUUCUGCUACACUUCACAACUAGAUGAGUUUAGCAACAUCAACAACACUGAUUCACGCUGAUGAACAGAACUACACUGAACCGCACUGAUCGGAGCCAAACUGAACUGAACCAAACUAAACUGAGUUAACCUGACUGACAGAAACAAACAACUGUAACCAGAUCUGAUAAUGUUGCUGCUUGUGUUAAUUUACCUCUAUGACCAUCCUGCGCUGGUACAGAUGAGUUAAUGCAAAUACAUGUUCAUACGCGUACGUUCAUACGUUCUGGUAUAUUGUUGAUCACAUGGAAACACUUUUUUACUUGUAUGUUUUUACUUUACAAAGUUUGAGGCACAUCUGCAGCUCUGGGUUAGCAUCUCCUCAUUUCAAUAGUUAUGUAUGCCUCAACCAACAAUGCAAAACAGCCUAUCUAAAACCAUCAUUGAUACUUACACCAUACCAUAGACUAAGUGAAAGAGUCUCCGACUGGCUGGAGGAGGUACAUUAGUUUUGGAGAACUGUAUAGCAAGUGGUAAAAAGUGGAAUUAGUCACUGAACCUUACCUGUCUUGAUUUUACAUGAAUGGCCAAACCAGGGGCGCCAAGUCCAGCUUAACAGAGUCUAUAAAAAGUGUAGUGUAGAGAAUGAUGCUGGAUUUGUAUUGGUCUUAUUUAGAGUAAAUUCAUGCUUUAAAACACUGGUGUUGUUUAUGAUUGGUGGGUGGCCCAAUAGCCAAGCCC